UUUCCGUAGGUGAACCUGCGGAAGGAUCAUUCAUAAUAAAGUGUUUUAUGGCACUUUUUUAAAAUCCAUAUCCACCUUGUGUGCAAUGUUAGAUCUCGUCAAUCUUGGCGAGAUUUUUAUACAUCAACUCAUUCUUUAACUAAUUUGUCUGAAAAAUAUUAUGAAUACUUAAUUCAAAAUGCAACUUUCAACAACGGAUCUCUUGGCUCUC
rnacentral:misc_RNA from 1 species